AUCAAUUCUCCAGGACCCUGUAUCUGUAAAUGUAUUAACUUAUCUUUCCUCCUCGACUGCUAGUUCCCCUUCCGUGUAGUAUAGAGCCCCAAAAUUAGUCCAAUUGUCAAACCAGAAGCUAGAGUUCCCAUUUUUUAAUUGCCACCAAAUAUAAGGCUCCACUUCCUCCCGACCAUUAAUCAUACUUCUCCAGGCUUGUGAGGCACCUGUACCCACGGCCAAAACAGGAUGCCUUUUUUUGCAAUAUUUAUUGCCAAUAUAAACACUCCAUAAAGAUCCAACAGAUGUUCUAAAAUUCCACCAAAGCUUCACAUGCAUUGCCCUAUUUAUUACCUCUAAAGAUCUAAACCCCAGGCCUC
rnacentral:lncRNA from 1 species